UACGUAGGUGGCAAGCGUUGUCCGGAUUUAUUGGGCUUAAAGGGCGCGUAGGCGGUUAUAUAAGUCAGUGGUGGAAUAUCCCGGCUUAACCGGGAGGGUGGCAUUGAUACUGUAUGACUUGAGUAAAGUUGAGGUUGGCGGAAUUGACGGUGUAGCGGUGAAAUGCUUAGAUAUCGGGAAGAACACCGAUUGCGAAGGCAGCUAACUAAGCUUUAACUGACGCUGAGGCGCGAAAGUGUGGGGAUCAAACAGG
rnacentral:rRNA from 1 species